CUCGUGCCGGCGCGGGAGGCCCCCUCUCGGGACACACGCGCAGCCGAGAGGCAGCUCUCUGGGAAAAAGGGUUCGCCCGAAACUUUCAGAGGAGCCGAGGGUCUCUCCGGCCCCCUCCCCACCCUGUGCCCGGAGAGGGGCGCCGCGAGUGCGCUUGGGUGCGCGCGCCCGGCCGCCGGGCUCGCUUCCUCCCGCGGGCCUCCUGGAUUUCCCUCCGCCCCCUUGCGGGGAUCCCCCUGCGCGCCCGGCUCGGGAUCUGGAACAGGACUCCCCGGAGGCUCUUGGCUCACUGAGGAUGUCCUGGCUCCCCCCUCUGGCCCGGGCUCACACUUCACUCGCGAUCGUCCUGGACCAAGCCCAGGGCUGUGGCUGAGGGAAGUUCUGCUCCAGCCGUCACCUGCAGCCCUGCAGAAGGUGCCCCGUGCAGAGAGGACAUCUAGUGGUCUCAGGCACACCCACCCUCCUUCCUGGGGUUUCCGGCUUCCUCCCUGGUACCUGGCUUGGGCUGCUGGUUGGGAUGGUGGAUCUAGCCCCAAGGAGGAGGUAGGGCUGAAAACAGAAGGGCUUGUUCAAAAGAGGAUCACUGAAAUCCAGGUGACUUUCUCCGUGGAGUCCGGUCAUAUCAGGAAAUCUAGCUGCAUGCAGAUGGUCCGGGAGGUGAGGAGGAAGGAGGGAAGCUCUGUACAGGGUUCUCCACUCCUAGGUCUUGGGAGGACCCACAGAGUCCAAGUGUGUUCCCACCUGUGGGUGACCUCCUGGCUCAUGCCUCCCAGAUGACACCCAACAGCAUCUGGGGACAGCAGGUGAUGGCAAAGCACAAAGCAGUCCUUCCUGGGUGGCUUCCUUACCACAGAGGGGUCAUUUCACCCAACAAGCCUGGAAGAUCUCGCUUCCUGGGCGUAUCAUUCCUUUACUCCUUUCUCGGCCUGGUGUCUUCCGGGAUGCACCUCUCCUACGACCCCCUUGUGGUUGACCCUUCACUCCCACUCUGGUUGGUUACCAGGUACCGAGGAGGAUUUAAACCGUGGAAGUUUGCCCAGGCUGAAGGCGGGGGAGGGUGGUUCUCCGUCAACAUUCAGAGACAUAGACAGGAAAGUUUAGGAGCUUGGAAUACUAUCCUUUAUUCAACUAACCGGGAAAGACACUCAAAUCGCUUUUUCUCGUGUAAAUAGGAAAACUAAAAGUGAGAGAGGGAAUCUGGAACUAAUUGGGUUAGGGAAUGAGCCACAGGCACAAGGAAUUGUGUAAUCUGGGGGUGGGAGAGGUGUCGGGGGAGGGAGCAGGAGGGAGGAGGGGAGAAACCAGGAGUUGGCAAUUCCCUGGAAAUGCUCUCCGCACCUGCACUGAUGGGAAGAAAGGGAGGAAGGUUGGGGGAGGGGAGGGAGACAGAGAGAUGAGAGAUCACUCCCGGGGUGCCUAGUAAUGAUUUUUAGUUCAUAUUCAUUUUGACAGGUUUCAGAGCAAAGUGGGGUGUAGCAGAGACAAAGACCCCUGAGAAGCCAACCACCCAGAGAAGAAAAAUAGGCACUUCCGGUCCCCAGCCUGACAGCACCUUCGGCCGUUCCAUGCAGAGACUUUGGACCGGUUAUGAGGGCACAGAAGUGGUUUGUGUCUUUCUCAUCGCUCUGCCUCCGUCACCAAGGACCACAUGCACAUGCUGAUGUCAGCCCAGUGAGUGAGGCCCAGACCACCAGGGUCUUCUGUGCCCUCCGGCCUCCUUCCCAGGCUCCAGCCUCCCCUGCCAAGAGCGCCCAGACCUGACAGAGCAGUUCCCACAACAAGGCAGGGUUGUGCCUCUAUAACACCAGACAAAGCCACCAAUGGAGAGGGAGGAGAGGAGAAAAUCAGGGGAGCCACUUGCUUGGUGAGGCAACAAGUCAGCCUCCUGGCUGUGGCCGCCUCUCACACAGGGAGACAAAACCUGAGCAAAGAGGACAGACGCUAAGUGUUCAUAGAACACCUCCAAACACAAUAAGGCCGACUGUCGGUGGAUGGGAGAACAGGGAGAGACUCUUGCCUGGGUGACCCUGGGACAGCCCGUGGGUGUGGCACCCCCUUCAUGUCUGCCUAGACACAAACUCCCAGGCCUCCCAUCCCAGGCCUGGUCUGGUCAACAUCAGUCACUCAGAUGCCAACAAAACCCCAGCUUCACCAAGGGACGCCUGACCACUUAUCCCUUCCCCAUCCUUGUUUGAUGCCCUCAUCAAAAAGCUGGUAAAACUGCUCCUUCAGCCGCUUCCUGAGCUGUCGGCAUUUCAAAGAGCACAAAACGUUCACUCCUAGUUGUGGGUGCAUGUGUCCACACUCCAGGUCAGGAGGUGUGUGAGAGCACCCUCUCAGCAAGGUGGGGCUCACGGGAUUUUUAAUAGUUCAGUUAGACACGGACACACGGACUUAAAAGAAACUACUUGUUUUAUUUUUUUUAAUUUUUAUUGGAGUAUAGUUGAUUUACAAUGUUGUGUUAGUUUCACGUGUAAAGUGAAUCAGUUACUUUAUAACUGUUUCCAAUUUUUAUUUUUUUCCCCAAUGAUUGGCAUUUGUUGAGUGAUUUUGACUCACUACAUGGAUGUGACUGUA